AUCACAGACUCUUUGAGUAUAUGCAUUUCCCUGACUCAGGAAUCAUGAACAAGGAAAAAACAGUAGAAUAUCACCCAGCAGACACAAACAUCAGGAAAAGAGUGUUGCCAAAAAACAAAUCUUGCCCAAACAUACAUGAAGUAAUGAAUCCAAAUGUACAUCCAAAAGAAAAGAGAACUAUUCCUGCUAACACCUAUCAUUCUAGCAAAUACUUGACAAUGAAGGGCAUGAGUGACUUACAGUUUUCCUCCCAGCUAUCCGAUGAGGAGGAAAAUAUGUACGAGACUGUAACUUCUUCAAUGCUGGAGGCCAUGGAUUCUCUGAGAAUCCUUCCUGCCAAACCUCUACAAGAAUCUGAAUAUGCAGACAAACGUUGCUUAAGGCCUUCAGGUACCACUUCCCCAACAAGUGAAAACCCAUCUCAGCCCCUUCAACACUCAGCUAUUUGCACACUUGAUCCGGAGGGGAGAACAGUGCCAAAUGUAAGAGGAGGAAGAAUGAAAACACAUGGAUAUCAGGUAAGCAGAAUCUCUCAUCAAUUACAAUUUUAA
rnacentral:lncRNA from 1 species